UGUGUUACCCUUCCAAGAAGUAACCGUCGGGUCAGGGUCAGGGUCAAGGCCGGAGCCUGAGCAACCAACCCCACCUUCUCAAAUGAGGGGCUUGAAGCGGAAGGAUUAAGCCCCAUGAAUGUCCUUUCCCAGGCUGGGGUCUCUGCUUGUGCCACCCCACGUGUGACGGCGUGUCCACCUGAGCUCACUGCCACCGGCUCUUCCGGAACGGAAGGCAGGCUCCAGGCACAGCAGUCUCCUAUGCGAUCCAGCUCCUUGCUGCUAAGAUGAGGUCAAACAGCACUGGAAGGGGGACCGUGCAGGCACACCGAGACCCAUCACGCACACUUGCCAUGGAAACCGGCCACGUUCCAGUCAAGGGCAGUGAGAACGACCAGGCUGGAGGAGGGGCAGCGAGGGGCUUGGACGAGAAGGACGCGAGAGCUCUGACGGCUACACUGUCCACUUCCAGCUGCUGCCGGGCAGUUUGCCCCCGGUUGGCCCAGAGCCACCGCAGGCCCCAUCGCCCCCACCUCCAGCCCAGAGACCAAGCUGCCCUCCGGCUCUGCACCCCACUGGGCUGUGACUUCUGCCUCCACCCUGCUACUGAACCCAGCGAGGGAGCGCCGACAGGAUUGGAAACCGAGGGCCAAACGGGAGAGGAGGAGGAGGAGGCGCCAGUCCCUAGGCCAGCUGCCCUUGUGCGAGGUGGCACCAGAGGGAGGUAAGGACUCGUAGUGGGGGCUGGGCCCAGGACCGGGGAAGGGCCCCUCAACUGUGCCCUGUAACACCUGUGGAAACACAGGUGCAGGGGAGGCCACUGACGACGGAAAGCCACGGGAGCGAUCCCGGACCCUCGGAAGGCAGA